UACAGAGGUCUCAAGCGUUGUUCGGAUUCAUUGGGCGUAAAGGGUGCGUAGGUGGCGCGGUAAGUCGGGUGUGAAAUCUCGGAGCUUAACUCCGAAAUUGCAUUCGAUACUGCCGUGCUCGAGGACUGGAGAGGAGACUGGAAUUCAUGGUGUAGCAGUGAAAUGCGUAGAGAUCAUGAGGAAGACCAGUGGCGAAGGCGGGUCUCUGGACAGUUCCUGACACUGAGGCACGAAAGCGUGGGGAGCAAACAGG
rnacentral:rRNA from 1 species